AGUAACGCGUGGAUAACCUGCCUCACACAGGGGGAUAACAGUUAGAAAUGACUGCUAAUACCGCAUAAGCGCACAGUCUCGCAUGGGACAGUGUGAAAAACUGAGGUGGUGUGAGAUGGAUCCGCGUCUGAUUAGGCAGUUGGCGGGGUAACGGCCCACCAAACCAACGAUCAGUAGCCGGCCUGAGAGGGUGAACGGCCACAUUGGGACUGAGACGCGGCCCAAACUCCUACGGAAGGCAGCAG
rnacentral:rRNA from 1 species